rnacentral:piRNA from 1 species
UGGCCACCUUGAAGUACGCCCUCAGGAGC